UACAGAGGUCUCAAGCGUUGUUCGGAUUCAUUGGGCGUAAAGGGUGCGUAGGCGGCGCGGUAAGUCGGGCGUGAAAUCUCGGAGCUUAACUCCGAAACUGCAUUCGAUACUGCCGUGCUUGAGGACUGGAGAGGAGACUGGAAUUCCUGGUGUAGCGGUGAAAUGCGCAGAUAUCAGGAAGAACACCCGUGGCGAAGGCGGCUCUCUGGGACGGUACUGACGCUGAGACGCGAAAGCGUGGGGAGCGAACAGG
rnacentral:rRNA from 1 species